AAAGAAAAUUUUCUGAAAGGAAACAUCACAAAUAUGUCACUAAAGAGUUUAAGAUGUCAAGUGUUGAUCAAAAGUUGACAUAAACACCMGUAAAGGCCAUGAAAGCUCGAUCAUUAUGGCAUCCAAAAGUCAUGGCUAGAAGCAAAAGAAAAUUAUGAAAAUUUACCAGAAAAUAGCUUCAACCAUCCUUAUGAAGCAUGCAAAAAAUCAGAUUCAAAUUCGAAGUAUUUUUUUUUUUACAUCAAAAAUACUCACGGAACACAAUCAAUGUCUACUGCUGAAAGUCUGAAAAAAAGCCAUUUGUCUAUAUAAGGGGUAGGCACUCUUCAGUGCCUAACCCCCCAAGGUUGGGACGUCYGUAUSGGUGUGGGCAAUGUCCGAGUGCCUAGUGCACGACGACUGUCCGUACGUACGUCCGACCUCCGGGCUGUCUCCGGUGACUUUUCCGGCGACUUUCCGGCGACCGCCAAAAUGACCGUUUUGCCCCUGAAUUUUUUUUUUCGCGCUUGUGCGGUCUUGGCCUGGUUUCGUUUGUCUUCCUGUUGCUCUACUGAUWUUCAUCAGACGAGUGGYAGGAAAGAUCGACGUUAGCGGGGCAAAUGAACGUUCGGCGUAUGAGUGGUGAUUGGAUAGCCAGUGUUUGUAGGCUCUGUGCUCGCGCACCCAACUACAGACCAACUAUCCUUCUCAGUUUCUUCACAAGCAUAGAUAUGCUUGCUGACUUGAUCCUGGGCCUGUGUUGCGUACCUAUCCAGAAGGAAUUCUUGAGCCUUGCUCGAUAUUUUGUUUGCGGCAUCUCCUUCACCGGAGAGGUCGUGAACACAAAAGCCGGCACUUGUGAUCCUUUCGGCUWUUGCAUAAACAAUGCAUUGCUCGAAAAGGUGAACAAGCUGUCAGCUGAAAUCUCGGUUGCGGAAAUCUUAUGGACGGUGACUCGAAGUAAUUCGGUCCCGCCAAGCAUAAUUGUCUCCGGACAAAAGAUGACGGCCAAGACCAUUUCUGUUCCUGCUUUCCUAGYGUUUGCGGGAAUCCUACUUUCCUAGCGUUUGCRGGAAUCUUGCUUUCCUAGCGUUUGCGAGAAUCCUUCUUUCYUAGCGUUUGCGGGAAUUUUGCUUUCCUAGCGUUUGCGGGAAUACGAUUUGGUCUUGCCGUGAUUUAUGAAUGC
rnacentral:misc_RNA from 1 species